UUAAAAUCUUUGUAUUUACUUCGGUCACAUUUAUCAAAUUCAACAGAUCAAUUUGCCGCCUGAAGAAGAAAGGUAAUCAAAUUUAUAAUUAACUUACACGUGUGAAUCAAUUUUAUAGAAUUAGGCUGACCCGUUAUAUUUUUGAAUUACAACAAAGUGGCGCCCAACUAAAAAGCUCGUACCACACCUCCAAAAAAUAUAUCGAACAUAAUAUUAGCUUAAACGUUUUAUAAAAUUAUCAACCAACUAAUAG